rnacentral:rRNA from 1 species
UACGAAGGUGGCAAGCGUUACUCGGAAUUACUAGGCGUAAAGGGCAGGUAGGUGGUCUGAUAAGUCUGUUGUGUAAGCUCCCGGCUUAACUGGGAGAGGUCAACGGAUACUAUUAGGCUAGAGUAUAGGAGAGGUUACUGGAAUUCCCGGUGUAGCGGUGAAAUGCGCAGAUAUCGGGAGGAACACCAAUGGCGAAAGCAGGUAACUGGACUAUUACUGACACUAAGCUGCGAAAGCUAGGGGAGCAAACAGG